AAUGAACGCUGGCGGUAGGCCUAACACAUGCAAGUCGAACGGCAGCACAGUAAGAGCUUGCUCUUACGGGUGGCGAGUGGCGGACGUGUGAGGAAUACAUCGGAAUCUACUUUUUCGUGGGGGAUAACGUAGGUAAACUUACGCUAAUACCGCAUACGACCUACGGGUGAAAGCAGGGGAUCUUCGGACCUUGCGCGAUUGAAUGAGCCGAUGUCGGAUUAGCUAGUUGGCGGGGUAAAGGCCCACCAAGGCGACGAUCCGUAGCUGGUCUGAGAGGAUGAUCAGCAACACUGGAACUGAGACACGGUCCAGACUCCUACGGGAGGCAGCAGUGGGGAAUAUUGGACAAAGGGCGCAAGCCUGAUCCAGCCAUACCGCGUGGGUGAAGAAGGACUUCGGGUUGUAAAGCCCUUUUGUUGGGAAAGAAAAGAAGCAGGUUAAUACCCCGCUGUUCUGACGGUACCCAAAGAAUAAGCACCGGCUAACUUCGUG
rnacentral:rRNA from 1 species